CGGCGAGUGAAGCGGCAACAGCUCAAAUUUGAAAUCUGGCCCUCUUGGGGGUCCGAGUUGUAAUUUGCAGAGGGUGCUUUGGCGUUGGCUGUGGUCUAAGUUCCUUGGAACAGGACGUCGCAGAGGGUGAGAAUCCCGUAUGUGGCCGCCAGCCUUCGCCGUGUAAAGCCCCUUCGACGAGUCGAGUUGUUUGGGAAUGCAGCUCUAAAUGGGAGGUAAAUUUCUUCUAAAGCUAAAUAUCUGCCAGAGACCGAUAGCGCACAAGUAGAGUGAUCGAAAGAUGAAAAGCACUUUGGAAAGAGAGUCAAAAAGCACGUGAAAUUGUUGAAAGGGAAGCGCUUGCGGUUAGACAUGCCUUUAGUUGCUCAGCCGGGCUCUUUGGCCCGGUGCACUCUUCUAUAGGCAGGCCAGCAUCAGUCUGGGCGGUCGGAUAAAUGCCUAUUAAACGUGACUCCCCUCGGGGAGAGCUUAUAGGGUAGGCGCCAUGCGACCAGCCUGGACUGAGGUCCGCGCAUCUGCUAGGAUGCUGGCGUAAUAGCUGCAAGCGGCCCGUCUUGAAACACGGACCAAGGAGUCUAACAUCUAUGCGAGUGUUUGGGUGUCAAGCCCGGGCGCGUAAUGAAAGUGAACGGAGGUGGGAUCCCUUCGGGGUGCACCAUCGACCGAUCCUGAUGUCUUCGGAUGGAUUUGAGUAAGAGCAUAGCUGUUGGGACCCGAAAGAUGGUGAACUAUGCCUGAAUAGGGUGAAGCCAGAGGAAACUCUGGUGGAGGCUCGCAGCGGUUCUGACGUGCAAAUCGAUCGUCAAAUUUGGGCAUAGGGGCGAAAGACUAAUCGAACUAUCUAAUAGCUGG
rnacentral:rRNA from 1 species